rnacentral:tRNA from 1 species
GCCCUAAUAGCUUAUAGUAAAAGCACCGGUUUUGUAACCCGGAGAUUGUAGAUUAGAAUUCUUCUUAGCGCA